rnacentral:rRNA from 1 species
GUAGGUGGCAAGCGUUGUCCGGGAAUUAUUGGGGCGUAAAGCGCGCGCAGGUGGUUCUUUAAGUCUGAUGUGAGAGCCCCCGGGCUCAACCGGGGAGGGUCAUUGGAAACUGGGGAACUUGAGUGCAGGAGAGGAAAGUGGAAUUCCACGUGUAGCGGUGAAAUGCGUAGAUAUGUGGAGGAACACCAGUGGCGAAGGCGACUUUCUGGCCUGUAACUGACACUGAGGCGCGAAAGCGUGGGGAGCAAACAGGAUUAGAUACCCUGGUAGUCCACGCCGUAAACGAUGAGUGCUAAGUGUUGGGGGGUUUCCGCCCCUCAGUGCUGCAGCUAACGCAUUAAGCACUCCGCCUGGGGAGUACGGUCGCAAAGACUG